GGAUCAGACCCGGCAGCCUUGCUCUGUUCAGCAUAGCAUAGCGGAGCGGAUCCGAGCGGAUCGGAGCGGAUCGGAGCGGAUCGGAGCACACCGGAGCAGACUCAUCGAGAGGGCGUCUGCGAGACCAUGGAGAACGGAUACACAUAUGAAGAUUAUAAGAACACUGCAGAAUGGCUUCUGUCUCACACUAAGCACCGACCUCAAGUUGCAAUAAUCUGUGGUUCUGGAUUAGGAGGUCUGACUGAUAAAUUAACUCAGGCCCAGAUCUUUGACUACAGUGAAAUCCCCAACUUUCCCCGAAGUACAGUACCAGGUCAUGCUGGCCGACUGGUGUUUGGGUUCCUGAAUGGCAGAGCCUGUGUGAUGAUGCAGGGCAGGUUCCACAUGUAUGAAGGGUACUCACUCUGGAAGGUAAGUCAGGGGGAUAGGCCUGGUUGGAUCUGGAAGAGGCAGGAGAGAACUGUCUAGCCUCUUUCGCUACCUAGCUGUCUGGACUAGGUGGAUUUUUGGUCCUCUCCUUCCUUUUCUUUCACGAUGUAUGUCAUGCAUUUCAGUGUAGCUGAAUUAAUGAAAUUUUGUAAAUUUUUUUCUGAUCUUUUGCUUCGAAGGUGACAUUCCCAGUGAGGGUUUUCCACCUUCUGGGUGUGGACACCCUGGUGGUCACCAAUGCAGCAGGAGGGCUGAACCCCAAGUUUGAGGUUGGAGAUAUCAUGCUGAUCCGUGACCAUAUCAACCUACCUGGUUUCAGUGGUCAGAACCCUCUCAGAGGGCCCAAUGAUGAAAGGUUUGGAGUUCGUUUCCCUGCCAUGUCUGAUGCCUACGACCGGACUAUGAGGCAGAGGGCUCUCAGUACCUGGAAACAAAUGGGGGAGCAACGUGAGCUACAGGAAGGCACCUAUGUGAUGAUAGCAGGCCCCAGCUUUGAGACUGUGGCAGAAUGUCGUGCGCUGCAGAAGCUGGGAGCAGACGCUGUUGGCAUGAGUACAGUACCAGAAGUUAUCGUUGCACGGCACUGUGGACUUCGAGUCUUUGGCUUCUCUCUCAUCACUAACAAGGUCAUCAUGGAUUACGAAAGCCUGGAGAAGGCCAACCAUGAAGAAGUAUUGGCAGCUGGCAAACAAGCUGCACAGAAAUUGGAACAGUUUGUCUCCACUCUUAUGGCCAGCAUUCCACUCCCUGACAAAGCCAGUUGACCUGCCUUGGAGUGAUCUGGCGUCUCCCACACAAGAUCCAAGUAGCUGUUACCUUCUUUGGCCCCUUGCUGGAGUCAUGUUUCUCUGUCCUUAGGUUGUAGCAGAAAGGAAAAGAUUCCUGUCCUUCACCUUUCCCACUUUCUUCUACCAGACCCUUCUGGUGCCAGAUCCUCUUCUCAAAGCUGGGAUUACAGGUGUGAGCAUAGUGAGACCUUGGCGCUACAAAAUACAGCUGUUCUCACUCCUGUUCUUUCUUACACAAGAGCUGGAGCCUAUGCCCUACCACACAUCUGUGGAGAUGCCCAGGAUUUGACUUGGGCCUUAGAACUUUGCACAGUAGCCGCUACUAGCUUUUUGAGAUAAUACAUUCCUGGGGGCUCAGUUCUGCCUUAUCUAAAUCACCAGAGACCAAACAAGGACUAACCCAAUACCUCUUGGACUUUAUUUAAUGUCAUAG
rnacentral:sRNA from 1 species